CAAUCGACUCGUCGUCCACUCUCACUCUAUCUCAGGUGCGAGCAAGGAGCAUGAGCUCGAGCCUAGCCAUACGACAUCGGCAGGACAGCUCACAUCAUCGCAUACAGCAACUCCAGGUUAGUGCAUCUGUAACUCGUCAUUCCUUUAGUUAUAUACCUUCUCUUUGAGUUAUUAUAACAUUGGGUUGCAAUAUUACAGGCGCAACUAGAAGAAGAAAGGAGGGAACAGCAAGGGAUGGAGACGAGGAUGAUAGCGGAGCGGGAGGCCCACUAGACAGAUCAGUAGAGGAUGGCUGAGAUAAUCUAGUACAUGCAGAGCCUUGCCGCCGUACCUGGUUUUACUCCACCACCUCCGUUGUUCCCUCCAGUUGACCCUACUCAGCUCCAUAUUCCUG
rnacentral:lncRNA from 1 species